rnacentral:rRNA from 1 species
GACGAACGCUGGCGGCGUGCCUAAUACAUGCAAGUCGAACGCAGUGGGGACGGGUGAGUAACACGUGGGUAACCUCCCAUCAGAGGGGAUAGCACUUGGAAAAAGGUGCUAAACCGCUACUGAUGGAUGGACCCGCGGUGCAUUAGCUAGUUGGUGAGGUAACGGCUCGCAAAGGCGACGAUGCAUAGCCGACCUUGUAGGGUAGUCGGCCAGUCUGGGACUGAGACACAGCCCAGACUCCGACGCGAGGCAGCAGUAGCAAAUCUUCGGCAAUGGAGGAAAGUCUGACCGAGCAACGCCGAGUGAGUGAAUAAGGUUUUCGGACCGUAAAACUCUGUUGUUAGAGCAGCGGUAUCUAACCAGAAAUCCACGGCUAACUACGUGCCAGCGGCCGCGGUAAUAC